rnacentral:rRNA from 1 species
UACGUAGGGUGCGAGCGUUAAUCGGAAUUACUGGGCGUAAAGCGCGCGUAGGCGGCUUUGCAAGCCGGAUGUGAAAUCCCCGGGCUUAACCUGGGAACUGCAUUCGGGACUGCAUGGCCAGAGUAUGGGAGAGGGAAGUGGAAUUUCAGGUGUAGCGGUGAAAUGCGUAGAUAUCGUAAGGAAGACCAGUGGCGAAGGCGGGUCUCUGGACAGUUCCUGACGCUGAGGCACGAAGGCCAGGGGAGCAAACGGG